UACGUAGGGUGCAAGCGUUGUCCGGAAUUAUUGGGCGUAAAGAGCUCGUAGGCGGUCUGUUGCGUCGGCUGUGAAAACCCGGGGCUCAACCCCGGGCCUGCAGCCGAUACGGGCAGACUAGAGUUCGGCAGGGGAGACUGGAAUUCCUGGUGUAGCGGUGGAAUGCGCAGAUAUCAGGAGGAACACCGGUGGCGAAGGCGGGAUCCUGGGCCAGUACUGACGCUGAGGAGCGAAAGCGUGGGGAGCAAACAGG
rnacentral:rRNA from 1 species